rnacentral:rRNA from 1 species
ACGUUUUUUAAGGGGAGACUGCAGGUUCCAAAUGAAUCAUAAGAGGCUAGGUUCAGAGCUACAAUCCUUUCAUUCACCAACGUCACCUGGUUCACCAGGUCCAGUCCAGUGUUACUCGGCAGCAACACCAGGUGAGUGCCCUCCGUAGGUGAACCUGCGGAGGGAUCRKUACMGAGUGUAAAARCUCCCAAACCAUUGUGAACCUACCACUGUUGCUUCGGCGGCCUCGCCCCGGGCGCGUUCGCGCGGCCCKGACCCAGGCGUCCGCCGGAGGCUCCAAACUCUUGUCUUUUAGUGUAUUUCUGAGUGGCAUAAGCAAAUAAAUCAAAACUUUCAGCAACGGAUCUCUUGGUUCUGGCAUCGAUGAAGAACGCAGCAAAAUGCGAUAAGUAAUGUGAAUUGCAGAAUUCAGUGAAUCAUCGAAUCUUUGAACGCACAUUGCGCCCGCCAGUAUUCUGGCGGGCAUGCCUGUCUGAGCGUCAUUUCAACCCUCAGGACCCGUUCGCGGGACCUGGCGUUGGGGAUCAGCCUGCCCCUGGCGGCGGCUGGCCCUGAAAUCCAGUGGCGGUUCCCUCGCGAACUCCUCCGUGCAGUAAUUAAACCUCUCGCGGCAGGAUAGCGGUUGAACCACGCCGUUAAACCCCCCACUUCUCAAGGUUGACCUCAGAUCAGGUAGGAAUMCCCGCUSAAMUUAAGCAUAUCAAUAACGCGGAGGAACC